rnacentral:SRP_RNA from 1 species
GCCAGGUGUGGUGGUGCAUGCCUGUAGUCCCAGUUACUUGGGAGGCUGAGGCGGGAGGAUCACUUGAGCCCAGGAGUUUGAGGCUUCUUGAGCUAUGAUUGUGCCACUGCACUCCAGCCUGGGUAACAGAGUGAGACCCUGUCUCUA